AACGAACGCUGGCGGCAUGCCUAACACAUGCAAGUCGAACGAAGCCCUCGGGCUUAGUGGCGCACGGGUGCGUAACACGUGGGAAUCUGCCCUUAGGUACGGAAUAACUCAGGGAAACUUGAGCUAAUCCCGUAUGAUGUCCUCGGACAAAAGAUUUAUCGCCUAAGGAUGAGCCCGCGUCGGAUUAGCUAGUUGGUGGGGUAAAGGCCUACCAAGGCGACGAUCCGUAGCUGGUCUGAGAGGAUGAUCAGCCACACUGGGACUGAGACACGGCCCAGACUCCUACGGGAGGCAGCAGUGGGGAAUAUUGGACAAUGGGCGAAAGCCUGAUCCAGCAAUGCCGCGUGAGUGAAGAAGGCCUUCGGGUUGUAAAGCUCUUUUACCCGGGAAGAUAAUGACUGUACCGGGAGAAGAAGCCCCGGCUAACUCCGUGCCAGCCGCCGCCGUAA
rnacentral:rRNA from 1 species